rnacentral:rRNA from 1 species
UAGGUAAUCUUCGGCAAUGGGGGGAACCCUGACCGAGCAACGCCGCGUGAGUGAAUAAGUUUUUCGGAUCGUAAAGCUCUGUUGUUAAGGAAGAACGAGUGUGAGAAUGGAAAGUUCAUGCUGUUACGCUACUUAACCAGAUAGGGACGGCUAACUACGUGCCAGCAGCCGCGGUAAUACUUAGGUCCCGAGAGUUGUCCGCAUUUAUUGGGCGUAAAGCGAGCGCAGGCGGUUAGAAAAGUCUGAAGUGAAAGGCAGUGGGUCAACCAUUGUAGGCUUUGGAAACUGUUUAACUUGAGUGCAGAAGGGGAGAGUGGAAUUCCAUGUGUAGCGGUGAAAUGCGUAGAUAUAUGGAGGAACAACGGUGGCGAAAGCGGCUCUCUGGUCUGUAACUGACGCUGAGGCUGGAAAGCGUGGGGAGCGAACAGG